AGGAGGUGGGAGGGGAGGGGGAGACUGAGGAGGGAGGGCCGAGGUCGGCCCCGGGACCCACGGGGAAGAAAGGGGGAAGGGAGCGAGGCCGGAGAGGCUGCGGCGCGUGGCCUGAGGCGUAGAGCCGGGCUGCGGGGGUCUGGGCUAGGCCAGGCGCCGGCCUGACCCGCCUAGCCGGCAAAUGCAGGCCGGGCUUCCUCCUCCCGGAGCGGGCGGGGGAGGGGAGGGGGCUUGAGGCCGCGGUGGGGGGUGGGGGAGAAUGGAGAAAGGUGGUCCUGAUUCUCCCUUAGCUCGAGCCCACAAUGUGCAUCCAGGCCUCCUGCGGAGACGCCUCGGCGCACCCCGGCAGACCUGAAGCGCCCCUCUCGCCAGGUAUCCAGGCCCUGGGCCUGGCCUAAAAAGUCCCUCACCCCACCCCCUCGCCUCCCCGAGAGCAGCCGGCGGAGCUCGGAUGGAGGCGACAAGGCGGGGACCCACAAGGAUGCUGCCGCCGCCGCCGUCCCACCGCUGCCCAGGCUCCAGUAAGAGCGCGAGGCCGCCCUCGCCAGGGUAAGGGGCUGGCGAACGGCCUGGGCGCCUGGGACCUUGGGGACAAGCAUCCCAGGGUAAAGCAGCGCGCGCGGGGGCGCGUGCACGCACACACACACACACACACACACACACACACCCUCCCCAGGAGACAGGUCCUGAUGCGAUGCGUGGGGCGGCGGGAGCCAGCUUAGCCUAUCUGAAACCCAGGCCUCUAGGAGGUUGCUUCAGAUGUCAAGUUGAGAGCGGGGUAUGUGUGCCCUCUUGGGGAAAGGGUAAGAAAUAGAGUAUGACUUUCUCUAUCGUGUUGGGGAUAGACUGGGACGGACACACACACACACACACACACGUGCAGGUCCCUCCCACCGGCCCUCCCAGGGGCACAGAGACCCUGGCCCGCGGUGGAAGUGGGGAAACACGAGGCCACGGCGCAUCCAGACGGAGCGGGCUCCCGGGGCUCAACCCGAGGUCGCACGGACCCAGACACAAGAGAUCCACGCGGCCAGCGUCCACACCCGAGCCUGGCGACUGGUGCGUCCAGGCGAGCUCCGCGGGGCCGAGGUGCCGGAAAAAGCAGCCCUGGGGUGCGCGCGGGCGCGAGCUGCCCGCGAAGGGUAACCAGCAAAGGCGAACCUCGGGGUCCAAGUCCUAAAGUUACUAAUCCCGCUCAGGGUUGGGGCGGGGGGGGGGGGGCGGAGAGCGUGCCUCCGGCCGCCUGGGGCGGUCAUUUGAGCGUGUUUACUUAAGGACUUUGCAAGCCGAGCGCGCGCGAAAUAGUCGGAUUUCCAGCGAGGCAGCAAAUAUUUGCAGGCAGGAGAAAGAAGCGGAGCCCGGCCGCGCCGCUGCGUCCCUCCCCCCGGUGCCACGGCGCCGGCCUGGGCGGACCCGGCCGCGCGGGUAAAGACAGAAAAGCAACCGAAGACCUGCUGGGGGCUGGGGGCUCGGAGAUACCGGGGGCCGGCGCAGAGCGACACCAAAGGCCAAAAGCUGGGGGCACGGCCCGAGGCCCUGGCACGCCGAGGUUGGGGGAGGAGAAUUCCCUUCCUAUUCCAGCCCGAUCAAUCUUCCUGGGCUGCGAUCGGUCAAUAAAAAAACGGUGUGAAGCGUCCGCAGCCGCUGUGCGUCUGGGGAGGAAGUAGGGGGCCAGAGGUGUCGAGGCCGGCGCCGGCGCCCCUCACCAGCCGGGUUCGCUGCCCUUGGGUCUGCAAGCCUGAGGCCCCCGCGCAGUGCGUUGCCGGGAGCGGAGCGCGGCCCGCCGGGGCCUUUAAUUGGGUGUCUCCGUUUUAAUAGUAGCCAUUGUUGGAGCAAUUAGCGAGAGACAAUAACCACCGAGAGGCGUUUAAUUCGAUGCCGUGCGCCUGCUGCAGCCCAGCCCCUGGAAGCUCGGGAAGACAGUCCUGGGCUGCUCCGAAAGGGAAGGUCCAGUUGGGGAGGCCCCGGUUCCUUCCCCCUCCCACUUUCUCUUAGGCGUGGGAGUUCUAAAAGGGCGAGUAGGGCAGGCUGAAAACCGGGCGAGAGCAACCUGAGCCAGGCCUGCUGCAGGAAACCCCGUCCCCAGCCUCGCUAGAGCCCGCCGGGCGCCCCCAAGCCCGCCGCGCCUCUUGGAGCCGCGGCGGCCACGCAGGUUCCCAACACGGUCAGAGACAAGCCGGGAGGACGAGGACACGGAAAGCGGCCUCCUUCUCAGCCGCCGCGGGUCCCCACCUCGGUCACCCGAACCACGACUGAAUUUCCUUUCCCUAUCCGGGGAGAAGGAGGAGCAAAAGAGAGACCCCCGCUUGCGGCGUGCGCACACACCUCCCUCUCCGACGGAGCCAGCCUCGCUACCCCCUCCUCCGCCUCGGCCCGCGGAUUAGGUUACCGUGGCCGGGCGAGGAUUUUUACUGGAUACGAGAAUAGCACAGGAAACCCAUCCGGAGGAGAAAGAGCGGUGAGCGCGGUGGAGAGUCAAAAAGAGAAGAAGAGAGGCUCUCGGAGAUACCCCCUCGCACUCCGCCCCCAGCCCCAGCCCAAGCCUCAGGCUGCGGGGGAUCCUGCACCCUCCCACCACUACCUUUUCCCCGGUAGAAAAAAACCUCAUUGUAGCGAGAUAGAAGAGAGAGAAAGAGAGAGAAGGCCGGGUGUAGGUAGGUAGGGGUGUAGCGGAAAGGGGGAGAGAAGGGGGGGGGUUAACGAGGCGCAGGUGAGGGGACGAUGAUGAUGGCGGGAGACCCGGAGCUGAGCGGCGGAGAAACAGCUCCACUGGGGAUGAAUCCUAAGGAAUUCUAGUUACUCUGGGGGGAAGGGCUCACCACCACCAUCACCCCCAGCUCACCCUUUUUCCUGGGCUUGGGUGGUCUGAGAGACAGGUGAGAACUAAGGAGGAAGAGGAAGGGAUGGCGGUGCCAUAGCUGGGCAUCCCCGUGGCCUCCCAAGGCUGCGGGCCGCUUACCCUGGCCCAACCAACAGCAUCGCCCACUUCCAGCCCCGGCCCACUGCCUCUAAACCGGGGCCUCUCCUCCCAAGCCCCCUCGCUACACACGGGCCGAACCGCUGAAGCACCUUGGCUUUGCGCCCCAGCUAGUAGUUAGCCAAGCGGCGAGAGGUUCACCUCUUUGGACGCGUGGGCCGAUCGCCCGUAGCAAUUUUCGGGCGAGGAGAGGUGUCUGUGCGGCUUGGGCUGGCUGGCCCUGGCCACCUGCUCCACUCUCCGUGGCCUCCCGCCGCUGCCAGCUGGUCGCCCACAACCUCAGCGGUACCCUGUCUCCAGAGCGCCUGGCCGAAAGCUAGUGUCGGGCGACUCUCCUCCGGCUGUUCCAAUUUGGCAUUUCAGGAGGAGCAGGAGGGCUUUAUCUGGGGGGCUAUUGUGUUUUUACUCCUCUAGAUUAGCCUGAGGAACUGGAAUGUGAUUGUCGCCGGACAAUCGACCGUGAGCGUCAAGGGCAACUGGGGGGGGGGGGGCGGUGUUCCCAGCAGGGGUAGGAGAAAUGGGGGAGGGUGGCUCUGCUCAGAUCCAGGAGACAGCAGAGGCGGGCUUUUAAAAGCAUGAAUCGUUCCAGUCUUCCUCUGGUCACGCUGAGACCCCCUUAGUAAAACGGUGCAUCUGCCAGGCUCAGAGAUGCAAAGGCGGCAGCACCCGGCAAAUCUACGGUGCCCGGCCCUCCUGGGUUCCAGGACUCCCUUAUGCCCUCUGCCUCUGCCAGCCAGGCCCGGGCUCGGGCUUGGCUCUCCGCCUCCUGCCACCUCCUGGACCCCAAGCAAUUUGUUAUAUAAAACAGAAUAGCAACCA